AUGGCGGCGUGCUAUACAUGCAAGUCGAGCGAAUGGAUUAAGAGCUUGCUCUUAUGAAGUUAGCGGCGGACGGGUGAGUAACACGUGGGUAACCUGCCCAUAAGACUGGGAUAACUCCGGGAAACCGGGGCUAAUACCGGAUAACAUUUUGAACUGCAUGGUUCGAAAUUGAAAGGCGGCUUCGGCUGUCACUUAUGGAUGGACCCGCGUCGCAUUAGCUAGUUGGUGAGGUAACGGCUCACCAAGGCAACGAUGCGUAGCCGACCUGAGAGGGUGAUCGGCCACACUGGGACUGAGACACGGCCCAGACUCCUACGGGAGGCAGCAGUAGGGAAUCUUCCGCAAUGGACGAAAGUCUGACGGAGCAACGCCGCGUGAGUGAUGAAGGCUUUCGGGUCGUAAAACUCUGUUGUUAAGGAAGAACAAGUGCUAGUUGAAUAAGCUGGCACCUUGACGGUACCUAACCAGAAAGCCACGGCUAACUACGUGCCAGCAGCCGCGGUAAUACGUAGGUGGCAAGCGUUAUCCGGAAUUAUUGGGCGUAAAGCGCGCGCAGGUGGUUUCUUAAGUCUGAUGUGAAAGCCCACGGCUCAACCGUGGAGGGUCAUUGGAAACUGGGAGACUUGAGUGCAGAAGAGGAAAGUGGAAUUCCAUGUGUAGCGGUGAAAUGCGUAGAGAUAUGGAGGAACACCAGUGGCGAAGGCGACUUUCUGGUCUGUAACUGACACUGAGGCGCGAAAGCGUGGGGAGCAAACAGG
rnacentral:rRNA from 1 species